rnacentral:rRNA from 1 species
GAGGGGUAACGGAAGUAGCUUGCUACUAGACGACGACCGGCGCACGGGUGAGUAACGCGUAUGUAAUCUGCCUUGUACAGAGGGAUAGCCCAGAGAAAUUUGGAUUAAUACCUCAUAGUAUUACCGAAUCGCAUGAUUUGGUAAUUAAAGCUCAGGCGGUACAAGAUGAACAUGCGUGACAUUAGCUAGUUGGUAAGGUAACGGCUUACCAAGGCCACGAUGUCUAGGGGUUCUGAGAGGAUGAUCCCCCACACUGGUACUGAGACACGGACCAGACUCCUACGGGAGGCAGCAGUGAGGAAUAUUGGUCAAUGGACGCAAGUCUGAACCAGCCAUCCCGCGUGAAGGAUGACUGCCCUAUGGGUUGUAAACUUCUUUUAUAUGCAAAUAAACCUACUU